AUCACUGGUGUUCGGGUUGUCAUGCCAAUGGCACUGCCCGGUAGCUAAAUGCGGAAGAGAUAAGUGCUGAAAGCAUCUAAGCACGAAACUUGCCCCGAGAUGAGUUCUCCCUGACUCCUUGAGAGUCCUGAAGGAACGUUGAAGACGACGACGUUGAUAGGCCGGGUGUGUAAGCGCAGCGAUGCGUUGAGCUAACCGGUACUAAUGAACCGUGAGGCUUAACCUUACAACGCCGAAGCUGUU
rnacentral:rRNA from 1 species